CGCUGCCUAAGUCGUGACUUGAGAUCGUGCCCCUGUCGUUGCGAGAUCAGCGUCUCACCAAUCACCAUUCACCAACGCCUAGUUCUCAUCCGCUCCAGCUCGGAUCCCUAUCCAUCAAUCCGUUCUUCCUCGGCCGUUACGGUUCUCCGCCGGUGCGAAUGGCCCACCCCUCCGCCGCCGCCGCCGCCGUGGGUGAUCUGAUCCCUGGCAUCCCAGACGACGUUGCGGUGCGUUGCAUCGCCCAGGUGCCCCGCUCCCAUCACCCGUUUCUCGCUGUAGUAUCGCGAUCCUGGCGUUCCCUACUCGGCUCCCCGAUCUUCUGCGCCGCCCGCUCCCAACUUUCCCUCCCCGACCCUCCCGCCCUCGCCCUCGCCCUCAACCUCCGCUCACCCACCGACCAGUCCUGGUUUCUCCUCGAUCCCUUCCUCCGAUUCAGCGGCUCGCGGAAGAAGUCGCCGCCCCCUCUCCGCCUCCCCUCCCCGCCCCUCCCCGCCAUCGGUUCCGCUUGCGCCUCCCUCGGCGGCUCCCUCUUCCUCCUCGGCGGAUCCGUCGCUGACGUUCCCUCCCUCGCUGUUCAGAUCUUCGACGCCCGCCUUCGCAGGUGGUCCUCCGGCCCCCGCAUGUCCGCCGCUCGCGAGUUCGCCGCAGCAGCCGCCGUCGGCGGCCGCAUCUACGCCAUCGGCGGAUGCCUACCCCGGGCCGACGCCUGGGCCGAGUCCCUUGACCCCUCUGCUGGAGGGAAAUGGGCCGUUGUUCCCAGCCCGAUGGUCAUCAGGGAGAAGUGGAUGCACGGGUGCGCUGUCCUCGCGGGCAGGAUCCUCGCGGUGGCGGAUCGGGGCGGCCUGGUGUACGACCCGGCGGCCCCGUCGAAUGAUGCCAGGUGGGGUCCGGUGCCUCCGGUUCUGGACAACGGGUGGAGGGGGAGGGCGACGGUGGUGGGAGGGAUACUCUACUCCUAUGAUUUUCUCGGCAAAAUCAAGGGGUACGACCCGGAAUCCGACGAGUGGAAGAAAGUGGAGGGGGUAGAGAAUGAACUCCCCACCUUCUUGUGCGGCGCGACGCUGACAAACCUGGGCGGUUUGCUCUGCCUUCUGUGGACAGGCAAGGACUUGGCGAGCAGGAGAAAAGAAAUGGUGAUCGAGUGGGCUGGGAUCGAGAUAUCGAAGACGACAGAUGGAAGGUUGCAGGGAUCGCUUCUGUGGCAGGAACCUGUUGUCCUAGACGCUCCCAAGGGAUCAUACAUUGCCCACUGCGUGCCCUUGGAUUUGUGAAACUGCAAAAAAGAUUCAACCUUUGCGAUAAUGGAGAGUUGCUUCUUGAGGGAACAUGUGGAUAUGCAAUGCUGCAAUAAAGAUACAUUAGGAGUAGCUUGGUCGGUUUAGGUUCUUGAUACUCAUGCUGGCUGCAGAUUGUAUAAUCCAUAAAAGCUAAAAACUUGUCUAGCCAAUGCUAUUGCAAUCUGGAAAGCUACAAAAAGUGAUGCAAGUUUGAUGCUGCGAUGUGUUUGGCCAGUAGUUUCAAUGAAGAAACUUAUUGCUGCGUGUUUUUCCAAAUGAUUCUUAGCGUAGAUUCUAUUGGAACCAUGCAAAUUCGAAAUAGUUGGUUCAUGCUGAAUUGAAAGCAUUUAUCAGGCCAAGAAAGUGCAGUGCGAAGAAAUAAUUUGUUUGGUUCAAGUAUCAUGUGUAUUUAUUUGCUGGAAGGAAACAAUUCGAAUAUGCCUAAUAAACUUGCAUUAUUUUCCCUACUUACAUAAUAGGGAUCUA